UGGCAAAACAUCUGAAGUUCAUCGCCAGGACUGUGAUGGUACAGGAAGGGAACAUGGAAGGUGCAUACAGGACCCUAAGCAGAAUCCUCACUACGGAUAGGCUGAUUGAGGGCAUUAAGCCUCAACGGUACUGUGAGAAGCCAUGCCACCGGCGACAGAGGGAAAGCUAUGAAAGGUGAUGGCGGAUCUACGGCAUGGAAAUGGCUCGCAAGAUCAACUAUUG
rnacentral:lncRNA from 1 species